rnacentral:rRNA from 1 species
UUGCACCUACGGGAGGCAGCAGUGAGGAAUAUUGGUCAAUGGCCGGAAGGCUGAACCAGCCACGUCGCGUGAGGGAAUAAGGCCCUAUGGGUCGUAAACCUCUUUUGUCAGGGAGCAAAGGCGUCCACGUGUGGACGAGAGGAGAGUACCUGAAGAAAAAGCAUCGGCUAACUCCGUGCCAGCAGCCGCGGUAAUACGGAGGAUGCGAGCGUUAUCCGGAUUUAUUGGGUUUAAAGGGUGCGUAGGCGGGCUUUUAAGUCAGCGGUAAAAAUUCGGGGCUCAACCCCGUCCGGCCGUUGAAACUG